GCCCUAGAUCAAGAGGCUUCCUGGAGCUCCUUCUUACCUGGCCAGAGCUGGAUUGGUGGAUGUCAUCUACCCAGGGAGAGCUCCGGAUGAGAUCAGAGAUGGCAAAAGCGUUCCUCCGGGGGUGGGAGGGCUCGAUGCCCGCCUGGAGAUGAGGUCAGCGUGGCAGGCACCUCUCCGCUGUGCAGGAGGCAAGGAGAGUUGCAAGGAUCGUUUUGACUAGACCCCAGCCCCGAAUGAGAGCCUAGACGGGCUGGGGAGGGUGCGCAACCCCUUCCUCCGUUGGGAAGCUCCUCUCGGCGGGGCCUCCAGUUCCCCCCUCCCCGGGGAGGCAGGUGGAGCUGCGUCCCCAUCUUUGUUCCCAUCUGGAGCGCGUUUGGCGCGGCGUGGCGGGGGCGGGGCUGCGCCCCCGCGGUGCCCGGAGAGACUGGCCCGCCCGCUUAUCUGAUCUGCGGCUAAUUGAAACUCCCUGCUUGCGAAGGUCAGCUCGGUCCCCUGACAGCUGCCGAGCCGAGCCGGGCCGGAUGGAAAACCCGGGCUGUGCAGGGCCCGGCCGGGCGCGUGGGGGAGGGGUUGUGGGGGGCUGCUUCUGCGGCAAAGUAGACAAAGGCUGCCCCUCCCUCCUAGUGCGCGCUGCUGGGGGUCGCCAGAGGUAGCGGCCUUCGCCCUCACCCAGCGGGGCGCUCCGGCCGGGAUCACGUGGUCUAAGGCUACAGAGGCGGGGGUGGGGGCGCGCCCUUAAUCCCUACGCGCCCGCCCAUCCCGCUCCCACGCCGGGGCCUGUCUAGGGUCUCUGGGAGAGUCACCCCCAACUUCCUGCCCCUACCCCGCCUCCACGCCCCGGCUCUGAGACUUCCUGCCUCCUCGGCUCCGGGCUGCUCGGGCUGUGGGAAGCUGGCUGGGCGGGGGCGGCCGGGUCCCCUCCUCCCUGCGUGCUCAGCGGGGCGCUGGGGGUCCGGGAGGAAGUGUGCGCGGUGGGGGGCACGGCCUGGCCCCGGGGCGGCCAUCCGGUGGGGCAGGUGCGGCCUCAGCCCUGGGAGGGAGGGAGGGCAGGCAGGCCCGUUGCUAAUAGUGCUGGGGCAGGAGGGGGGUGGGGCGCGCACUGCGGGGAGUCCCGUCUCCAGGGUUCCGGGUGCGGAUGUGGCUGGCUAGGAGGUCCCGCCCGUCGCGCCCCAGGCAGGCCCAGGCUCAGCAAAGCAGGCACGUGUCCCCUCAACCUCCGGCCUGAGACUAGGCUAAGAUGCUGGGAAGCUCCCAAGGUGUAACUCGGCCUUUGGGCUGACCGCGCCCUUGAGCCACGCUUUUUGGGCCUCGGCUUUUGCAGUCUGUAAAAAAUAACCCUAGUGACAGCUACCAUUUUUCAGAACCACGUGCCAAACAUAGUGUUAAACGUUUAACGUACUUUUUCUCAAGCCACGCGACAAUUCCAUUUUGCUGAUGAGCAAGGUGAGACGCAGAGAGGUUGCGACUUGCCCGAAGUCACACAGCUAGCAAGAUACCUAGGCGGGACUCCAGGUUCUUUACGGGUGGUCUUGUUUUAGCAAGAGGUCUGGAGUGGUGCACCUAUAUAGGUCGAUCGCACAGGGCAUUCACUAGUUCCGUGAGCCCCUUGGUGGCGUCUCGCUGCACGUGUUCUAGUCUUGGAGCUGGGCACGUGUAUCUUGGCGCACUCCCUCGUGCCAAAGCCUGGGGACAGAGGCAUAGCCUAGCGCACUGGUGCCCAGGUGCGCCCUUCCCGGUUAGGACCCGGCAGAGUCAUAUGGUCUGAGCCGCGGGCUGAGUGGAGCGGGGGCGGGGAACUCAGAGUAGAGUCCACGCGGGCCGAGGCGCCUGGGAGGCCGCAAUCCCGGCGCCUGCAGCCGGCGAGGCUCGGGGUGACGCGAGGGGGCCCAGCUACCGUGACCUCCUCCGCGGUUUCCAUGGAGACGCUUGCCUCUUGAGGGGGGAGAGCCUACAAAUUGCCGCCCCCCCGAAUCUCUCCAGGCGCGCACGCAGCCCGGCGCGGGCCGGGGCACAGGGCGCAGGCGGGAGGUCGCAUCUGCAGCUUUGGCGCAAUGAAUCAGGCGCGGCCGCCGCCGCCGCUGCGGAGCGCGUCUGGCAUCCGGAGUCUCCCGGGAUCGAAAAUAAUUUGGGCAAAGCGGUGGGAGGUGUGUGCGCGCGCUCCGAGAGGAGGGCGGGGGAGCCGGCCGGGCCGGGUGCGCGGGGCGGGGGGAGGUGCCAUCCGACAGCCCCGCUGUGGUGAGAACAGAGUUGACACUUCUUUCCUUUCCACUUACUGCGGCAAGUAACGC
ensembl:lncRNA